GUGCCAGCAGCCGCGGUAACACGGGGGGAGCGAGCGUUGUUCGGAAUCACUGGGCGUAAAGGGCGUGUAGGCGGUCCGGUAAGUGGGAUGUGAAAGCCCUCGGCUCACCCGAGGAAAGUCAUCUCAUACUGCUGGGCUUGAGUGCGGGAGAGGAUGGAGGAAUUCCUGGUGUAGCGGUGAAAUGCGUAGAUAUCAGGAGGAACACCGGUGGCGAAGGCGUCCAUCUGGCCCGUUACUGACGCUGAAACGCGAAAGCUAGGGGAGCAAACGGGAUUAGAAACCCUCGUAGUCC
rnacentral:rRNA from 1 species